CCUACGUGAGGCAGCAGUGAGGAAUAUUGGUCAAUGGGCGCGAGCCUGAACCAGCUAAGUAGCGUGAAGGAUGAAUGCCCUACGGGUUGUAAACUUCUUGUAUAAAGGAAUAAAGUGAGGCACGUGUGCCUUUUUGUAUGUACUUUCUGAAUAAGGAUCGGCUAACUCCGUGCCAGCAGCCGCGGUAAUACGGAGGAUCCGAGCGUUAUCCGGAUUUAUUGGGUUUAAAGGGAGCGUAGAUGGGUUGUUAAGUCAGUUGUGAAAGUUUGCGGCUCAACCGUAAAAUUGCAAUUGAUACUGGCAGUCUUGAGUACAGUUGAGGUAGGCGGAAUUCGUGGUGUAGCGGUGAAAUGCGUAGAUAUCACGAAGAACUCCGAUUGCGAAGGCAGCUUACUAAACUGCCACUGACAUUGAUGCUCGAAAGUGUGGGUAUCAAACAGGAUUAGAUACCCUGGUAGUC
rnacentral:rRNA from 1 species